CUUCCAUGGCUCAAUAAAAUUGAAUUGUCAUUUGUAAAACUGCAUUUUGUAUUUCUUUGGGUUGUCUCUGAGUGAUAUUCGAAUUGGCUUUGAUGAUUUGAAUGCUUUGUGUGUGAUAGAUAUG